CCUACGGGAGGCAGCAGUGAGGAAUAUUGGUCAAUGGGCGCGAGCCUGAACCAGCCAAGUCGCGUGAGGGAGGACGGCCCUACGGGUUGUAAACCUCUUUUGCCGGGGAGCAACGGGCGCCACGUGUGGCGCCACUGAGAGUACCCGGAGGAAAAGCAUCGGCUAACUCCGUGCCAGCAGCCGCUGUAAUACGGAGGAUGCGGGCGUUAUCCGGAUUUUUUGGGUUUAAAGGGUUCGUAGUCGGAUCGUUAAGUCAGUGGUCAAAUUGAGGGGCUCAACCCCUUCCCGCCAUUGAAACUGGCGAUCGUGAGUGGAAGAGAAGUAUGCGGAAUGCGUGGUGUAGCGGUGAAAUGCAUAGAUAUCACGCAGAACCCCGAUUGCGAAGGCAGCAUGCCGGCUUCCGACUGACGCUGAAGCACGAAAGCGUGGGGAUCGAACAGGAUUAGAUACCCGAGUAGUC
rnacentral:rRNA from 1 species